ensembl:lncRNA
GCGGCUGCAGUCUUUAGAGAAUUAAUUCACUUAAACCCGAGCACCUCCUUGCUCGGAGCACUAGUUUCGAGGAGGGAUGUGGUUAUCAUGCGCAAGAAGUAGAGAUUUUUUUUUUCGUGACUCUUCCUAGCGCAAUCUUUUUUACUCUCAACGGCAAACCGAAGAAUCUCGGCCUCCUCGGACGCAGAACUCUUCUCCCAUAUCUCCCUGGGGGUCAAGUUGGAGCGAAUAACUUCAAAACGUUUGAGAAGAAGAGGAACAGCAACAACACAGCCUUUCUCACUUGGAAAGAAACUCUUGCUGAAGCCUUGUCGUUUUAAGGAACGCCUUAUCCCGCCCCCAUUGUAUCCAGCCUGGAGUUCCCGCUCUCUGGUCGGCACCGGGAGAGCGAUUCCGAAGGUGCACCGGGACCUUCGCUCCGUUGUUGGGCGAUCUUAUCUGCGGGCCUAGAGGCCCACUUGCCCUUGGUUCCCUGAAGCUCUGGGGGCACCCAACAAUUACCACUGCCCUGGGAUAGUCCCAUCUUGCGUGACCCUGCGGGGAAUUGGGGGUGGAAGAGCGUGGACUACUGACUUUGCUCCGAACGGCCGGGGACCCAACCUGGAAAGGACCGAGGCCCCAGGCGGCUGGGGCGCGCCAGAGCGCACAGCCACAGGGACAGAAAGCGUGACGCGCGCGGGGAGCCAGGUCCAGUCCCGCAGCUCCAGGUCUCGGAACUUGGCGGCCUCGCCCUGCAGAGACGCAGAUUCAAGGGCCCAGUGGCAAUCUACGUAGGAUUCACCUUGGAAAUCAUCACACCUUGUUCAGCUGGUUCCAAUUGCCCCUGGGUUUUGAAUCCCACUCGGGUCCGCUUACCUGCUUCUCUACCGACCUGUUGGAGAGUCAGAGAGCCCUCUGCUCCUCAAGGAAAGAUGUGCCUAUGUGUGUGCUCAGUCGUGUCUGAUUGCGACCCCACGGACUGUGUCCCACCAGGGUCCUCUGUCUGUGGGAUUCACCAGAGUGAAAGUCCUGUAUUUUUUCCUGUUUUUGCCCAAUCAACAAAGACGUGCUUUGGAAAGCAGAUGAUGUGGAAGAUGGUUAUUAAGAAUUAAUUCUGGGUGAAAAAGUUAUUGAAUCUGUCCCACACAAUGUGCAUGUAGCUAAAUCGACUGUAUUAAACAUUUUAAAAUGGAUAAGAUGGUCAGUUGUAC